CAGCAGCCGCGGUAAUACCGGCGGCCCGAGUGGCGGCCACUAUUAUUGGGCCUAAAGCGUCCGUAGCCGGGCUGGUAAGUCCCCCGGGAAAUCUGGCGGCUUAACCGUCAGAAUUCCGGGGGAUACUGCCAGCCUAGGGACCGGGAGAGGCCGGGGGUAUUCCCGGGGUAGGGGUGAAAUCCUAUAAUCCCAGGGGGACCGCCAGUGGCGAAGGCGCCCCGCUGGAACGGGUCCGACGGUGAGGGACGAAGGCCAGGGGAGCAAACCGGAUUAGAUACCCGGGUAGUCCUGGCUGUAAAGGAUGCGGGCUAGGUGUCGGGUGAGCUUCGAGCUCGCCCGGUGCCGUAGGGAAGCCGUUAAGACCGCCGCCUGGGGAGUACGGCCGCAAGGCUGAAACUUAAAGGAAUUGGCGGG
rnacentral:rRNA from 1 species